UACGUAGGUGGCAAGCGUUGUCCGGAAUUACUGGGCGUAAAGCGCACGCAGGCGUUCUGUCAAGGCGGAUGUGAAAUCCCCGGGCUCACCCUGGGAACUGCAUCCGAAACUGGCAGGCUAGAGUCUUGUAGAGGGGGGUAGAAUUCCAGGUGUAGCGGUGAGAAGCGUAGAUAUCUGGAGGAAUACCGGUGGCUAAGGCGGCCCCGUGGACAAAGACUGACGCUCAGGUGCGAAAGCGUGGGGAGCAAACAGG
rnacentral:misc_RNA from 1 species